rnacentral:lncRNA from 1 species
CCAGCUUUCCCACAGACCCAGCACCCCCAGAAACCCCAGAAUCCUUGGAGGCAGGAACCUCUAUAACCUUCAUAAAAGUUGACCUUUCCCAGACCUUGCUUCUGCUAUGGUGUCAUUGACUUAUAAUGAUUAACUCGAUGUCAUACCCGCUGAACCCAAAGAAGCCACUCUAUUGACUAUGUCAGGUAUGAGAACAGGUUUAUGGGGGACACGCAGUCUGAGGGGACAGUUGGAAUCUCCCGGUAAUCAACACUAACUUCCAGGUCAUACCACUUACCUUCCAGAAAAGCCUUGGUGUUCAGCUAUGAAGUGAAUGGAUUUUGCUGUCAAAGUCCCCGGGGAAUAGUUAUUGCCCUUACUGCCCUUACAGUAACCACAUCUCCUCACUGCUGAAAGAGGUUUAGGAUCAAUAAGAGGGGAUUAUGAUUAUCCGUGAUGCUCUUUGGUAUUAAAUUAAAAUGCUUUCAGUGGUUGGUGGCCUGCUUAGGUGGCUGCCUAUGGAACCUCUCAUGUCUGUCAUCCCCUUUCAAGGUUGCCCCUGCUAUGGCAUUCUCAAGGAAGAAGGCAGCCUCCGAUAAGGAAUUCUAGUGGGGUCUCAGCCCUGUGCUUACCCAUGGGAUGCUCAGCUGGCUGGAAACAUCUUCCUUCUGACACAACAGCUCCUUACUGACAGUCUCAGUGGAGAAACUGAAGAUCAAACAAGUUUAAUCUCUGACCCUCACGCCGGCCACCGAGCAGGGUUNNNNNNNNNNNNNNNNNNGGAUCUGAAAUAAUUCAUGUUGCUCUCAUCACAGCGCUCUGCCUCCGCAGGAGACUGUCAGCUGCUUGGGGCCAUCAAUGUGACAUACCUUUCUAGUUUUACACAGAGACUAAAAUACCAUUUAAAUCUUAUUCCAACAUUUCUCAAAUCAGGCUGGUUAUUGUGCCUGUCUUAAUCUUUUGAGAUUAAGCUUCAAUGUUUCACCUUGACUCCAAUUUGCUCAUAAAUCUCUUCAUUUUGCUUAAUUUAAAUGUUUUUGCCAACUUCAUGGUUUAAUAAUGAGAAAUAAAAUUGGAACCUUAAUGACUACUAAGGAGGGUAUUUUCAUUUCAUCUGGAAUUAACAGAACUGUGGAAGGGGCAGGCAGCCUGUCAGACCAGCUGCCACAA